rnacentral:rRNA from 1 species
AAUGAACGCUGGCGGCGUGCUUAACACAUGCAAGUCGCACGAGAAAGCCUUGGCUUGCCAGGGCGAGUAAAGUGGCGCACGGGUGAGUAACGCGUGGGUAAUCUACCCUCGAAUUUGGGAUAACACCGCGAAAGCGGUGCUAAUACCGGAUAACAUCAUAUUUUCUUUGGAGGAUAUGAUCAAAGGUGGCCUCUACAUGUAAGCUACUGUUUGGGGAUGAGCCCGCGUACCAUUAGCUAGUUGGUAGGGUAAUGGCCUACCAAGGCAACGAUGGUUAGCUGGUCUGAGAGGAUGAUCAGCCACACUGGAACUGGAACACGGUCCAGACUCCUACGGGAGGCUG